GGCAUGGUCGUCUGUAAAGUUGAAGUAGCUAGGGGAAGAAUUAGAAUUACGUUUCACUUUGUAAUCAUUUGGUGGUGAAACUUGCAUGAUCAAUAACUCUUUAUUUUAUUUAUUUAUUUUGAUUGAAGAGAAUGGGUUAGGAAUUUCCCACUGCAGUAGCGAUAUUUUUUAAAACAAAAAGAUUAGAUUAUUACAAGAUGGCCGGGAAUGGAAAAGAACGUACAUGGAGAAGAAAUAACA
rnacentral:lncRNA from 1 species